AUUGAACGCUGGCGGCAUGCCUUACACAUGCAAGUCGAACGGCAGCACGGGAGCAAUCCUGGUGGCGAGUGGCGAACGGGUGAGUAAUAUAUCGGAACGUGCCCAGUCGUGGGGAUAACGUAGCGAAAGCUACGCUAAUACCGCAUACGAUCUAUGGAUGAAAGCGGGGGAUCGCAAGACCUCGCGCGAUUGGAGCGGCCGAUAUCAGAUUAGGUAGUUGGUGAGGUAAAGGCUCACCAAGCCGACGAUCUGUAGCUGGUCUGAGAGGACGACCAGCCGACACUGGGACUGAGACACGGCCCAGACUCCUACGGGAGGCAGCAGUGGGGAAUUUUGGACAAUGGGCGCAAGCCUGAUCCAGCAAUGCCGCGUGCAGGAUGAAGGCCUCGGUUGUAAACGUGACUUUGUUACGGUAACGAACCGGUAGA
rnacentral:rRNA from 1 species